GACGAACGCUGGCGGCGUGCUUAACACAUGCAAGUCGAACGGAAAGGCCCUGCUUUUGUGGGGUGCUCGAGUGGCGAACGGGUGAGUAACACGUGAGUAACCUGCCCUUGACUUUGGGAUAACUUCAGGAAACUGGGGCUAAUACCGGAUAGGAGCUCUUGCUGCAUGGUGGGGGUUGGAAAGUUUCGGCGGUUGGGGAUGGACUCGCGGCUUAUCAGCUUGUUGGUGGGGUAGUGGCUUACCAAGGCUUUGACGGGUAGCCGGCCUGAGAGGGUGACCGGGCAAAAUGGGGGCUGAAAAACGGCCAGAACCCCUGCGGAGGGCGGAGGGGGGAAAUAUUGAAAAGGGGGGGGAGGCUGGAAGCAGAAGCCCCGGGUGGGGGAGGCGGGCUUUGGGUUUGAAAACCGCUUCCGCCGGUGAAAAAGGGGGAGGAAGGGAAGGGGAAAAAGAGAACCGGCAAAACAAGGUG
rnacentral:rRNA from 1 species